rnacentral:rRNA from 1 species
UACGGGGGGAGCAAGCGUUGUUCGGAUUUACUGGGCGUAAAGGGCGCGUAGGCGGCCACCGCAAGUCGGUUGUGAAAUCUCUGGGCUUAACCCAGAAAGGUCAACCGAUACUGCGGGGCUAGAGUGCAGAAGGGGCAACUGGAAUUCUCGGUGUAGCGGUGAAAUGCGUAGAUAUCGAGAGGAACACCAGUGGCGAAGGCGAGUCCCUGGACAACUCCUGACACUGAGGCACGAAAGCUAGGGGAGCAAACAGG